GCGGACGUAGCUCAGUUGGUAGAGCAUCAGCUUCCCAAGCUGAGGGUCGCGGGUUCGAUCCCCGUCGUCCGCU
rnacentral:tRNA from 2 species